rnacentral:misc_RNA from 1 species
UUUCCGUAGGUGAACCUGCGGAAGGAUCAUUCAUAAUAAAGCGUUUUAUGGCACUUUUUAAAAUUCCAUUUCCUCUAUAGGUGAAAUGUUAUUUUUCGUUAAUCUGUGCGAGAUUCUGAUACAUCCAAUCCUUCUUUAACUAAUUUGUCUGAAAAAUAUUAUGAAUGCUUAAUUCAAAAUACAACUUUCAACAACGGAUCUCUUGGUUCCU